rnacentral:lncRNA from 1 species
CAGUAAUGAUCAAAUGGAGUUACAAAAAUGUGAACAUAAUGGACAGAAAAUAGAUGAACAAACAAUAAAUAAACAGAAAAUAGAUAAACAAAAAAUAGAUGAACAAACAAUAGAUAAACAAAAAGUAGAUAAACAAAAAGUAGAUGAACCAGAAAUAGACAAACCAAAAAUAGACAAACCAAAAAUAGAUGAACAAAUAAACAACGUUAUAGAUUUAUCUACCAUUUCAUUGUCCGAUAUUAAACAGUUUAUAAUGCGUAAAGACGACAAACAAACAGAUAACACACAAAUUAGUAACGACAUGGAGCAUAAACAAAAAAAUAUAACAAAAGAAACAGUAGUAGAAACUAAGACAGAAAAAGAAACAAAGACAGAAAAAGAAAAAGAAGAAAAACUAAACAUAAAAAAUGAUAUUAUGAAAUAUUUUGACAUAACAGAAAAUAAAAAUUCAAUAGUAUUUGAAAUAAAUGAAUCUUUUUUAAAAAACAAAGAACCAGUCGUUAAAAGUUCUCAAGUGAUAAAUAACUAUCUACAUUUGCUUGAUUAUAACAAACAAAGUAAUUAUGCGUUUGCCACGAAGGGCCUAAAAGAAGAUAUAAAAAAAGACACAGAAGAAAACAUAGAAGAAGAGAUAAAAAAAAUCAUCGAAGAAGACACAGAAGAAGACAUAGAAGAAGACAUAGAAGAAGACAUAGAAGAAAAUAUAGAAGAAAAUAUAGAAGAAAAUAUAGACGAAGCAGAACAAAUAAAAAAUAUGUCAACAGAUGUUAAAGAACCAGAGUAUAUAAUUAAUAACCCAAAAGUGGAGUGUAUAAGGAGCACAAUAAUGGAUACACGUGAGGACACUGUCGAAAAUACUGACAAUGACAAAGACAUGCACUACGACACGGGAUUGGACGAACUAAACACCCUAACAACCACCAAAAAAAAAAAUUAACAAAGAAAACAGAAACCUUACCAAUCUACAUUUUUUACUAAACGAAGAAGCGAACAAAAAGAAUAAAUAUAAUUUCCAUUCCA